AUAAAAUUAGUUAAAUUUAUAACUUGAGUUUGUCAUGCUCAGAUUAUUUCUCUAUGGAAUAUUUUUUU
rnacentral:tRNA from 1 species